rnacentral:rRNA from 1 species
UAGUCCACGCCGUAAACGAUGAGCACUAGGUUUUGGAGGUAUUGACCCCUUCAGAACCACAGCUAACGCAUUAAGUGCUCCGCCUGGGGAGUACGGUCGCAAGACUAAAACUCAAAGGAAUUGACGGGGGCCCGCACAAGCGGUGGAUUAUGUGGUUUAAUUCGAAGCAACGCGCAGAACCUUACCUGGGCUUGAACUCCUGAAAAGUCGGAGUAAUGUCUGAUGUGCCCUUCGGGGAAUUCAGUGGGAGGUGCUGCAUGGCUGUCGUCAGCUCGUGUUGUGAAAUGUUGGGUUAAGUCUCGCAACGAGCGCAACCCCUAUCUUUAGUUGCCAGCAUUCAGUUGGGCACUCUAGAGAGACUGCCUGGGUUAACCAGGGAGGAAGGGUGGGGAUGGACGUCAAGUCCUCAUGGCCCUUAUGUCCAGGGGCUACACACGUAAUACAAUGGUG